ensembl:snoRNA Gm23555 small nucleolar RNA SNORA17
GAUGCCCCUGGAAGGGUUGCUGGGGUGGCUGCUGUGUCUCAUACGUGUGAGUAGGUGGCAAAGAGGAAAGAGACAUGUCUACCCUCAGGGUUCUGACUUGGCAACAUCUGAAUGAUUAACAGCCUAAUACU